UGCCGCCAUCCACCUAAGAUGUUACUUGCUCCUCCUUGCCUUCUGCCAUGAUUGUGAGGCCUCCCCAGUCAUGUGGACUGUAAGCCAUUAAACCUCUUUCUUUUGUAAAUUGUCCAGUCUCAGAUAAGGGUUCAGAGCCUGUGCUUCCAAGAUGACUUUGGGACCAGGGUGUAUGAGGAGGUAGGAAGGCGUGGCCCCUGCACGAGGCCUGGCUGGGAAACGCCGCUGUGAUCACAUCGUUCAUCACUCACUGCUGACCACCUGACAGUUUUCCAGGACCAAGCCUCCUGCACUGUGUGAUUCUGGGAACAUCUCCUCUGGCUCACAAGGUCUGAAAAGCAAACCAGUCAGCUAUGGAAGUCAGAGACUCCAAAUGGAGGGGCCGGCUGAAGCCAUGGCAGAAGAACGUGGAUUGUGAAGAUUUCUUGGACAUUUAUUAGUUCCCCAAAUUAAUACUUUUAUAAUUUGUUAUGCCUGUCUUUACUGCAAUCUCUAAACAUAAACUGUAAAGAUUUCAUGGACACUUAUCACUUCCCCAAUUAAUACCCUUGUGAUUUCCUAUGCCUGUCUUUAAUCUCUUAAUCCUGUCAGCUGAGGAGGAUGUAUAUCGCCUCAGGACCCUGUAAUAAUUGCAUUAACUGCACAAAUUGUACAGCAUGUGUGUUUGAGCAAUAUGAAAUGUGGGCACCUUAAAAAAAGAACAGCAUAACAGCAAUUGUUCAGGGAAUAAGAGAGAUAACCUUAAACUCUGUCCACCAGUGAGCUGGGUGGAACAGAGCCAUAUUUCUCUUCUUUCAAAAGCAAAUGGGAGAAAUAUCACCGAAUUCUUUUUCUCAGCAUGGAACAUCCCCGAGAAAGAGAAUGCGCACCUGGGGGUAGGUCUCUAAACUGGCCCCACUGGGCGUGGUCGUCUCUUAUGGUCGAGACUGCAGAGGUGAGAUAGACUCCAGUCUCCCAUAGCGCUCCCAGGCUUAUUAGGAAGACGAAAUUCCUGCCGAAUAAAUUUUGGUCCGAUGGUUGAUCUCAAAACUCUGUCUCCUGAUAAGAUGUUAUCAAUGACAACAGUGCCUGAAACUUCAUUAGCAAUUUUAAUUUUGCCUCAGUCCUGUGGUCCUGUGAUCUCACCCUGCCUCCACUUGCCUUGUGAUAUUCUAUUACCUUGUAAAGUACUUUAUGUCUGUGACCCACACCUAUUUGCACACUCCCUCCCCUUUUGAAACUCCCUAAUAAAAACUUGCUGGUUUUUGUGGCUUGUGGGGCAUCACGGAACCUACUGACAUGCGAUGUCUCCCCCUGACGCCCGGCUUGAAAAUUUCUCUCUUUUGUACUCUGUCCCUUUAUUUCUGAAGCUGGCCAAUGCUUAGGGAAAAUAGAAAAGAACCUACAUGAAUAUUGGGGCAGUUUCCCCGAUAUCAAU
rnacentral:lncRNA from 1 species